rnacentral:rRNA from 1 species
UACGUAGGGUGCGAGCGUUGUCCGGAAUUAUUGGGCGUAAAGGGCGCGUAGGUGGUUUGAUAAGGGUGUGGUGAAAGUCCGGGGCUCAACCCCGGAUCUGCCGUGCCGACUGUCAAACUCGAGGACUGUAGAGGCAGACGGAAUUCCCGGAGUAGUGGUGAAAUGCGUAGAGAUCGGGAGGAACACCGGUGGCGAAGGCGGCCAGCUGGCGCUGACCUGACGCUGAGGCGCGAAGGCAUGGGGAGCGAACGGG